CCUACGGGAGGCAGCAGUGGGGAAUAUUGGACAAUGGGCGCAAGCCUGAUCCAGCAAUGCCGCGUGUGUGAAGAAGGCCUUCGGGUUGUAAAGCACUUUUAUCAGGAGCGAAAUCUGCAGGGCUAAUACCCAUGCAGUCUGACGGUACCUGAGGAAUAAGCACCGGCUAACUCCGUGCCAGCAGCCGCGGUAAUACGGAGGGUGCAAGCGUUAAUCGGAAUUACUGGGCGUAAAGCGUGCGUAGGCGGUUCGUUAAGUCUGUUGUGAAAGCCCCGGGCUCAACCUGGGAAUGGCAAUGGAUACUGGCGAGCUAGAGUGUGUCAGAGGAUGGUGGAAUUCCCGGUGUAGCGGUGAAAUGCGUAGAGAUCGGGAGGAACAUCAGUGGCGAAGGCGGCCAUCUGGGACAACACUGACGCUGAGGCACGAAAGCGUGGGGAGCAAACAGGAUUAGAUACCCCAGUAGUC
rnacentral:misc_RNA from 1 species